rnacentral:rRNA from 1 species
UGGCCCGAGGCUCGUACCGAGGGCAUGUCUGUCUGAGCGUCCA